GGGCACUAUUUAACUGUAAUUGAUGGGGAGUCAACAGUCUUUUCACUUGUACAGUCAUUUUUGGAGAUGGGAGGUAGAGCUGUUCAUCCAUUAGAAUAAAAGGAUUCUCGACACUCAUCAUGGAUGCUGCUCGGCGGGACAUUUGCUUUACGGAGGACAAACCGCACCCCUUCUGGUUCUUGUCUGUGUCCUCAUUCCCUUCGCAUGUAACAGAUUGCUCAGAUGUCUCCUGCUGAGUGGAUUCUUCUGUCUGCAUCUUUUUGGGUGAUAUUGAAUUUGCCAUGUUGUAAAAAUGUGUAACCACUAUCCAGAGGUUACUCACCCUUUGCACAUCUACAAUGGUCUGGUGCUGCAUGGUGCAGAAAUGAGCGCAGGCGUAUUCCAGCAGAGCACCAAAGAUGAAGGUGAAACAGAUGCCGAGAUAGACGUCGAUAGCUUUAAUGAAGCAGUUGGCGUUGGGAAGUGAGGUCCUGGCGCCCAUCAUUAGUGUGGUCAUGGUGCGAGCUGGAACGGAGGACUGACUGAUCCAAAAAGACACCCAUGACAGAACCACCAGCAGUGUUGAGGGCACAUAGGUCUCCAGAAUGAAGAACAACACAUUUCUACGUAAGGAGAAGUGCAGCACGAGCUUCGGGUAAAAACCUGCAACAGAUCCAGAAUUCAGGAUACUUGGUGAGAUCCAUGUUGCAGGCGAUGGUUGCUGUUAUGCUGUGGAGAAAAGGAGGAAUAUUGAUUGAACCAUUUCAGUGGGAAGGUUCCCCAGAUGCACAUACAUCUGCCCGGAGCAGCUGUUCAGCCUUUGGUGUCUCUCAACUCAAGGUCCUGAAGCACUGGUCCUGUUGACCUUCCUGUACCCAUAAACCAUCCAAACUUUAAUAUCCCAGAACUUUACCACAAGAUGGCAGCAGUCCUCUCUGCCCACACGCAAUUGCACCACCUACAGCUUUUCAUUAACGUACCAUUUUAUUUAAUGCACAACUUCCCAGUCACUCUUUCUCUUUACUUUAAGCUUAGGAAGCUGAUUGCCUUGCCUCAAGACACACCAGCAAUACCCACUGCAGUUAUUGCCAUGGGACCUGAACAAGAAGCAGUCCGUAAUGAAAGAAAGCUGCCAGAGAGGGACAGUGGACCUGCUUUAAUCAUACCCCUGCGGAUUGACCGGCUCUCCAUAAUUGAAGCGGACUCCUCUCAUCGUCCUCAGGCUUUAAGCCCACACAACACUGUAAACAGAGGCGCUGGAUUCAAACCGAUGGCUAAAUGAAUGUUUGACAGCACGAAGACGCACAGGUGACGCCUCAGCGACACGCAUACUGAAUAAAUAAACAAUGAACCGGAAUCUCUGCAGGGUGACCAAAGAACUGAACCGGCCAAUCAGGAUUCAUGAUGAAGAUGAUGAAGAGACCACUCCCACAUCCACGUUCAGUGA